AUGCCUCCACUUCACACCUUACUGAUUCCUCCAAUCCUAAUACCUCUGUAUCCUUUCACACUUCUUCCUUGGCUCCUCCUUCCCACCGUGCUCAAUUCAAUUCUCAUACCCUUCCUACCUCUGAUUUUUUCUGGCACUAUGGAACAACAACAAACCCUCUCCCUUAGUGUGCCCAACUCUUCUAUUUCUCAUACUUACCCAACUGAGAAUGGAGCAAGCAGCCUAGAAACAGGAGUACCAAAUAAUUCAGAUAGCUUAUUUCCUUUAAGGGAAGUACCCACUUUUAAUAAAAAUGGAAACUUGGUAUCUGUAAGACAUCAUACACCUUUUAGCCCUCGGGAUUUAAAAAAAUUGAAGGAAGAUAUGCCAUCAUUUGAGGACGAACCAAUAUUAAUUAUAAAAAAAUUAGAGAACAUAUUCAGAACUUUUGACCCCACUUGGUUGGAUGUUGAGAAUUUAUUAGAAGCCUUAUUGACAAAGAGAGAGAAAAAUAAUAUCGUCUCUCUGGCUAAUCAAAAGCGAGGUAAAAAAGGAAGUUAUUGGCCAACUGAAGAUCCACAUUGGAACCCAAAUGUUGAACUAGAUCACACAAAACUAAACCAGGCCAGAGAAGCAUUAUUGACAACCAUGAGAGCUUGCCCUGAUAGACCUGAAAAAUGGUCAAAAUUUGAAAGAAUUGGACAACAUAUUGAUGAAACACCCUCCCAGUUUAUGGACAGACCUAUUGACGUAGGGAAUACAGACCUUGAUUUAUCCAGAGAAAGAGACAUUAGACAAAUACAUAGGCAAUUCAUUGCGAAUUGUUGUUCAGUGGUAAGAGACUACUUUAAAACUAGCUGUCCUAAUUGGGACUCUAUGGACCUCGAAGAACUGAGAAGAGUAGCAACCUAUGUUUAUAAAGGUCGUGUAAAAAGACCUGAGAAAGACGAUACAUCAGUGGAAGAUUUAAUUCACACCAGGAAAGCUCUGAGUAAGUUUCUCAGCUCUUUGUUCCUUGUAAAUUCACAAGUUGUCUGA
rnacentral:lncRNA from 1 species